GUGUUUGGAAAGAGUUCCAGCUUCAUCACGGAGUUUCUCUCGGUUUGUGGGCUCAUCUAAAGUUUAUUGUCAACACGUUGAGAGAAGAGUGAGAGAGUGUUUGGAGAAAAACACCAACUAAUCAUUAGCUCAACAUGCUAUUGGUGUCAACCCAGCCUCCACCAUGGUUUGCGUUUCCUUUGUAUUCUAAGUAUUACGGAAAGAUACGCGGACACCUGAUUUCAAAAGAGAGGCCAGCUUUGACUGAAUUAACAGCUGAUCAGCAGGAGGAGAAGAAUCUGACGGAGCAGCAGAGGAACAU